rnacentral:rRNA from 1 species
UUUCAAUUGAAGAGUUUGAUCCUGGCUCAGAUUGAACGCUGGCGGCAUGGCUAAAACAUGCAAGUCGAACGAUGAAAACCCCUUCGGGGGUAUAUGAAGUGGCGAAAGGGCGAGUAAUGCGUCUUUACGUACCCUCAGGUGCGGGAUAACUCAGGGAAACUUGGGUUAAUACCGCAUA